AGUGAAUAAAUGGUAAGGUCUAUUGUUUCCAAAAUUUGUGUAAAAAUGUAAAGACUAAACAGACUGUUCAACAUAUAGAGCUUUAUCCUCUUUCAGGGAUAUAUUUAUGGGGGUACACACUGUUCCAUGACCAGUGUCUCCAAUAAGCAUCAACAUCUCAAAAAUGAAUGUUGGUGUAACCAAAAUCAGGAACUAUAUGUAUGUAUAGUUUCUAUAUAUAGCUAUUAUAGUUUGGGUUGUUCUUUGUAAUAUAAAAUACUAUUUUAUUGAAAUAGUUUUUGCAUUUGUCUACAUACGAUUACUUAUGAUAAAGUUGUUCAUUUCUUCUAGGUUUUUACAUAGUGUGGCAUACAGAAAGUUUACAAGGAUGGUGUAUGGUGUAAUUGGAAAACAAGAAUCCCACUGCUGCAUGUGCAUACCAUGCAAUAAGGAAGACAUUCCCUCUCACAAAAGAUGAAUCAUUUACCAGAUUUAAAUAUUUGAAUAAAUUAAUGACUAAGCUAACAUACAGUAAAACCCAUCGUAUCAGAACCUACCGUAGAUGUUUACAAAAUAACAGUGUAUACAUUACUUUAUAAAGAGCUUAUUUUCUUUAAUUGAUGUUUAAUUUUUUGCUUCUUCGAUAAAAUAAGAAGCUGUUUUGGAAUUCUAGUCUGAACUGGUUCUUUUGUAAAGCAGGGUUUUACUGUACUAUUUAAAUAUUAUACUCUAAUGAAACCUAUAUAUGGAACAUAUUUGGUAUCAACAUAAAUCAGUUUUGACUAGUGCUCAUCAGGGAUAGAAAACAAGUAAAGUAGAGCAAACUUGAUACAAGUAGUGCAUAAUAUAAUUUAUUUAACAAAUAUCACCACCCUGCCCAUAAAGCCCCCUCCCUAUUAAGCCCCC